GGAUGGAUGGGUGAGUGGCUUAAACCAGCAGUUUGCUAAACUGCCGUACGGGUUUAUUCUGUACCGGGGGUUCGAAUCCCCCUCCAUCCG
rnacentral:tRNA from 1 species